GGGGAAUCUUGCGCAAUGGGCGAAAGCCUGACGCAGCGACGCCGCGUGAGGGAAGAAGGCCUUCGGGUUGUAAACCUCUUUCAGGAGGGACGAAGCCACUCGGGUUAAUAGCCCAGAGGGUGACGGUACCUCCAGAAGAAGCCCCGGCUAACUACGUGCCAGCAGCCGCGGUAAUACGUAGGCAGCGAGCGUUGUUCGGAGUUACUGGGCGUAAAGAGUGCGUAGGCGGUUUUCUAAGUUUGGUGUGAAAUCUCCCGGCUUAACUGGGAGGGUGCGCCGAAAACUGGAAGGCUUGAGUGUGGGAGAGGUAAGCGGAAUUCCUGGUGUAGCGGUGAAAUGCGUAGAUAUCAGGAGGAACACCUGUGGUGUAGACAGCUUACUGGACCAUGACUGACGCUGAGGCACGAAAGCGUGGGGAGCAAAC
rnacentral:rRNA from 1 species